rnacentral:antisense_RNA from 1 species
ACUGUUCUACUGCUGGUUUUGGUUUGACUCUCCCAGAGGAAAACCAGGAUUGUCACUGGAAGUUCCUGAAGUAAUCUCCUUUUUUAGCAAACUUUCGUUAUUACACUAUUUAGGUCAUAGUACAACUUUGCUGAAUUGCCGUGAACUGAAGUAUUGGAUUUUUACUUUAAUUUAUCCUGUGAUUAUGCUGAUUUUGCUUCACUGAUAUUCUGUCAUGUCCUUAGAUUUCUAGUGAAACUGCUUACAAAUCAACCAGGUAAAAUUUUAUGGGAAAGUCAGGUAGGGAACUAGCACUUGGUUAUGCUUGUAUAAAAAGAAACCCACAAAAUUUUUUCUCAAAACAGUCUUUCUGGUUGUCAAAUGAAAUAAGGGAGCAAUUAGACUUAUGUCUGAUGAGUAGAUGAAAAUAUUUCUGCUGA